rnacentral:rRNA from 1 species
CAGUCGCCACGGUAAAACGUAGGUGGCAAGCGUUGUCCGGAAUUAUUGGGCGUAAAGGGCUCGCAGGCGGUUUCUUAAGUCUGAUGUGAAAGCCCCCGGCUCAACCGGGGAGGGUCAUUGGAAACUGGGAAACUUGAGUGCAGAAGAGGAGAGUGGAAUUCCACGUGUAGCGGUGAAAUGCGUAGAGAUGUGGAGGAACACCAGUGGCGAAGGCGACUCUCUGGUCUGUAACUGACGCUGAGGAGCGAAAGCGUGGGGAGCGAACAGGAUUAGAUACCCCCGUAGUCCCUGUCUCUUAUAC